CCUACGGGAGGCUGCAGUGGGGAAUAUUGGACAAUGGGGGCAACCCUGAUCCAGCCAUGCCGCGUGUGUGAAGAAGGCCCUCGGGUUGUAAAGCACUUUCAGUGAGGAAGAACGCCUGGUGGUUAAUACCCAUCAGGAAAGACAUCACUCACAGAAGAAGCACCGGCUAACUCCGUGCCAGCAGCCGCGGUAAUACGGAGGGUGCGAGCGUUAAUCGGAAUUACUGGGCGUAAAGCGCGCGUAGGUGGCUUGAUAAGCCGGUUGUGAAAGCCCCGGGCUCAACCUGGGAACGGCAUCCGGAACUGUCAAGCUAGAGUGCAGGAGAGGAAGGUAGAAUUCCCGGUGUAGCGGUGAAAUGCGUAGAGAUCGGGAGGAAUACCAGUGGGGAAGGCGGCCUUCUGGACUGACACUGACACUGAGGUGCGAAAGCGUGGGUAGCAAACAGGAUUAGAUACCCGAGUAGUC
rnacentral:rRNA from 1 species